UGUGUAGGCGGUGCUCUAAGUCUGUUGUGAAAUCUCCCGGCUUAACCGGGAGGGUGCGGCGGAAACUGGAGUGCUUGAGGGUGGGAGAGGUAAGCGGAAUUCCUGGUGUAGCGGUGAAAUGCGUAGAUAUCAGGAGGAACACCUGUGGUGUAGACAGCUUACUGGACCACUUCUGACGCUGAGACACGAAAGCGUGGGUAGCAAACA
rnacentral:rRNA from 1 species